rnacentral:rRNA from 1 species
CCCUGCCAUUUGUACACACCGCCCGUCGCUCCUACCGAUUGGAUGGUCCGGUGAAAUUUUCGGACCGCAGCAAGGCAGCAGGUUCGCCUGCAGCCUCGCAGCGGGAAGUUACUUAAACCUUACCAUCUAGAGGA